rnacentral:rRNA from 1 species
CCUACGGGAGGCAGCAGUGGGGGAUAUUGCACAAUGGGGGAAACCCUGAUGCAGCGACGCCGCGUGGGCGAAGAAGUAUUUCGGUAUGUAAAGCCCUAUCAGCAGGGAAGAAAGAAGACGGUACCUGACUAAGAAGCCCCGGCUAACUACGUGCCAGCAGCCGCGGUAAUACGUAGGGGGCGAGCGUUAUCCGGAUUCACUGGUUGUAAAGGGAGCGUAGACGGCCGUGCAAGCCAGGAGUGAAAGCCCGGGGCCCAACCCCGGGACUGCUCUUGGAACUGUGCGGCUGGAGUGCGGGGGGGGCAGGCGGAAUUCCUGGUGUAGCGGUGAAAUGCGUAGAUAUCAGGAGGAACACCGGCGGCGAAGGCGGCCUGCUGGACCGCGACUGACGUUGAGGCUCGAAAGCGUGGGGAGCGAACAGGAUUAGAUACCCGGGUAGUC